rnacentral:lncRNA from 1 species
CAGAAGUUCGAGACCAGCCUGGCCUCAAACUCUGGUGAAACUCCGUCUCUACUAAAAAUACAAAAAUUAGUUAGGUGUGGUGGUUCACGCCUGUAGUCCCAGCCACUCAGGAGGCUGAAGCAGGAGAACUGCUUUAACCCAGUGGGUGGAGGUUGCAGUGAGCCGAGAUUGUGCCACUGCACUCCAGCCUGGGUGGCAGAGCGAGACUCUGUCUCAAAUAAUAAUAAUAAUAACAAAAGAAAAAAGAAAGUGCUUUGUAGGCUGCAAGUGCACUAUGGGUUAUUAUUCAGAGGCCCGCCUACUAUGGUCUAUUUGAACUGUGCUCUGUGCCAUCUCCCAACUCCUGCCAACUCCACUCCUCUACCCAGACCGAUAAAGACUUAGAACCACUCCCCUGAGCAAACACUCAGAGUGCAAUGACAGAGUGAGAAGCAGGUGGGGGGCUGGGCGCAGUGGCUCACCCCUAAAUUGAAUUUUUAAAAAGUGUUCUAUUUACAGGGAAAAACCCUGGGGGAGUGUCUGUGAAUUCCCUGGGGGAAGGAGAGGGCUGGGGCAGGGCCUGGGCCAGACUCUCCCUUCUCUGGGGAAGGGAAGGGGUGUGGCUCCUCCUUGGGUGUGAACGUGGGUGGGUGCCCAGGCCUGCCCACUCUUGCCAUCCGCCUAGAGCCUGGCCCGGAGCUGGGUGUGGAAGUGGAGGGUAGUGGCUGUGGCUAGAAGUGCCCCAGGCCCCAGCAUGGCACCUCUAGCUUUACAUUCUCUGCGUGUUGGGCUUCUGAGUCAGCGGCUGGGGCGGACAUCCCUGCUGAUGCUUCCGCGAGCAUCCCUGCACUGGGAUUUUCAGAGUCCUCAGAUUCCCAAGAAGGAGAAUACGAAGUUCUCCCUGUUUUAUAGAUGAGGAAACAGAGGCACACUUAAUUACAAGACACUUGCACACUGAAUUGCACACUUAAUUAAAACAGUGGUGUUCCAGACCGUUUGGAGCAGUGAAGCUCUGCCAUCAGGCAAGGGCUGGGUUUGGAUCCUGCCCCUACCACAUGCC